UACGGAAGGGGCAAGCGUUGUUCGGAUUUACUGGGCGUAAAGGGCGCGUAGGCGGCGCAACAAGUCACUUGUGAAAUCUCCGGGCUUAACCCGGAGCGGCCAAGUGAUACUGUCGUGCUAGAGUGCGGAAGGGGCUACUGGAAUUCUCGGUGUAGCGGUGAAAUGCGUAGAUAUCGAGAGGAACACCUGCGGCGAAGGCGGGUAGCUGGGCCGACACUGACGCUGAGGCGCGAAAGCCAGGGGAGCGAACGGG
rnacentral:rRNA from 1 species